UACGGGGGGGCAAGCGUUGUUCGGAAUUACUGGGCGUAAAGGGCUCGUAGGCGGCCAACUAAGUCGGAUGUGAAAUCCCCAGGCUCAACUUGGGAACUGCAUCCGAUACUGGAUGGCUUGAGUUCGGGAGAGGGAUGCGGAAUUCCAGGUGUAGCGGUGAAAUGCGUAGAUAUCUGGAGGAACACCAGUGGCGAAAGCGGCCACCUGGGACUGUACCUGACGCUCAAACGCGAAAGCUAGGGGAGCGAACGGG
rnacentral:rRNA from 1 species